rnacentral:rRNA from 1 species
AGAGCGAACGCUGGCGGCAGGCCUAACACAUGCAAGUCGAGCGCCCCGCAAGGGGAGCGGCAGACGGGAGAGUAACACGUGGGAACGUACCCUUUGGUUCGGAACAACACAGGGAAACUUGUGCUAAUACCGGAUAAGCCCUUACGGGGAAAGAUUUAUUGCCAAAAGGAUCGGCCCGCGUCUGAUUAGCUUGUUGGUGAGGUAACGGCUCACCAAGGCUACGAUCAGUAGCUGGUCUGAGAGGAUGAUCAGCCUCACUGGGACUGAGACACGGCCCAGACUCCUACGGGAGGCAGCAGUGGGGAAUAUUGGACAAUGGCGCAAGCCUGAUCCAGCCAUGCCGCGUGGAUGAUGAAGGCCCUAGGGUUGUAAAAGUCCUUUCGACGGGGAAGAUAAUGACGGUACCCGUAGAAGAAGCCCGGCUAACUUCGUGCCAGCAGCCGC